rnacentral:misc_RNA from 1 species
AUGAAAUCUUCAACCUACAAGCUUUUGUGGUUUGUAGGCUUGGACUUGGAGGCUUGUCGGCCGUUAUCGGUCGGCUCCUCUUAAAUGCAUUAGCUUGGUUCCUUGCGGAUCGGCUCUCGGUGUGAUAAUGUCUACGCCGCGACCGUGAAGCGUUUGGCGAGCUUCUAACCGUCCUUAUAAGACAGCUUUAUGACCU